UACGUAGGUCCCGAGCGUUGUCCGGAUUUAUUGGGCGUAAAGCGAGCGCAGGUGGUUUAUUAAGUCUGGUGUAAAAGGCAGUGGCUCAACCAUUGUAUGCAUUGGAAACUGGUAGACUUGAGUGCAGGAGAGGAGAGUGGAAUUCCAUGUGUAGCGGUGAAAUGCGUAGAUAUAUGGAGGAACACCGGUGGCGAAAGCGGCUCUCUGGCCUGUAACUGACACUGAGGAGCGAAAGCGUGGGGAGCAAACAGG
rnacentral:rRNA from 1 species